GCUUUCCCGUGGGCAACCGAAACUCAGCUCGUGGUUUCGCAGUCCUGGAACGGCCGGCACCCGCAUAGACCGUCCCCUCUCGGUGCUGGCUCUGGCUCCUGGGAUCUUAUCAUAAAACCUAUGGAAAAAAAUCGAGGAUGUUUGCAUAGGACGUUUUUGGAGAAUUUGGCCUUUUGAAAGAAAAUGUAACUAAGCUCUGUGGUUCUGAAAGCUUCCUCUACCUGAGUUGAUUUCAAGAUCUCCAGGACACCUGUGGGUAUCAUUGGUGGAUGCCGUUCAGGUGGUUAAGGUGAUGUUGGUCCUCCUGAUGUCCUGACAGUCCAAACAGGCGCACCUGAACUUCCCCUGAUCCUGCAGAAUGCCUCACAAAACACGUGCACCUG